GGUUAUAGCUUAAUCGGUAAAGCGUACUGCACAUAACAGUAAUAAUAAUUCAAAGUUUGUAGGUGCAAUUCCUACUUUAAUUA
rnacentral:tRNA from 1 species